AUCCAACUGACGAGUCCCAACUAGGACAAAACGUACAUCUCGGAU
rnacentral:hammerhead_ribozyme from 1 species